rnacentral:rRNA from 1 species
AUGGAAGCCAAGGCAGCCGCGGUUUUGUUCAUUGUGCUCCUUGGAUGCUCCAUGCUCAUGUUGGUCUCCUCAACUGGUAAUAUAUAUGCUCCAUCUGUUUUCAACAUCACAAUGCCAAGGAAGUGCAAAUUAGAUAAUGACUUUGAGGAGGUGAACCCCUUAAAGAAGCAUAAGCCUCCCGCAGAUCGGAAUAGAGCUUCUCCUAGUGCUCUUGUGACUGCCUGUAAGGACAUGUCAGAUGAGAGAAUGUCCGUGAUUGAUGACAUGGAUUUCACUAGUCUGCGGAAUAUCAAGUGUGAUAAUCUGUUCAACCGGCUUUCUCAAUGGCUUGCUGGUCUAUACAACCCUGAUUCCCGUGAGGUCGUUGUACCUGGUCAUGGAAGGUUACCGGUGAAUGAAGAGUCUGUGCAUCGUAUAAUGGGUGUGCCCCGAGGUGAUAUUGCGGUGGAUUUCAAGCGCUUGUGGCUUCUGCUUGCUGCCAGCACUGUGAUGGCGCCAACGACUUCCAACAAGAUCAGCACCAGAUGGUAUUCUGUGUUGCUUCUGUAUAUAGAUGCUAUUGACUUAACUGGCCUUGGUAUCAUCUUACCUGAUGGUCCUUUUGCAAUUAAUGUGUGGACAAAUGAGUUGGCAUCGCAAGUUCUCCGGAUGGAUCUCCAGAAGGACAAGCUUUCUUAUGGGAAAUUAUCGCUUAAGCCCCAAUAUGGCCAAGACUAUUGCUUGUUUGGUGGCUUACAAGACUGUCGGGAAGACUGCAAGUACCCUCCUGCAUCCCGCUCACGUCAAGUAAAAGAUACCGGCAAGAAAACUGUUGAAGGUCCAGAUUCUGAUCAUGAGCAUGAUUCUGGUGGCGGUGAUGGUCACUCUGAUGAAGAAUUAGAUUUUCACGUUCAUUACCACGGUUCUUCAAGUGGCCCGAACGCCCAUGAGGCUUCAGGUAGUGGGGGUAGUGCUGGACCAAAUGCCUAUGAUGCUUCAGGUAGUGGGGGUAGUGCUGGACCAAAUGGCUAUGAUGCUUCAGGUAGUGGCGCAGCGAAUGCAGAUGUCGGUGCAACGAUGUUCGCAACGCCAAUGUGUCGGCGUCGCAAGAAAUUACGCCUACCUUCUUCGCCCAUGGCCACUGGUACAACUGAUUCUGACCAGCCGUCGUUGGAUGAUACACAUCGUUGUAUCAAGGCAAUGGUCAUCAAUGAGCUUGACAUUGUAGGCCCUGAUAAGGGCACUAACUCAGUAAUUGCCAAUCCCACUCGGAAGAAGCAACAUCCUCGCAAGGGUUCGAAUGCUCCAUCUAUUAGUGUUGCCGACCUUCAGCAAACGCGGUCUACCAGUGUGGGUGUCACGUCUGAGGUGGUACCUAGUAAUCUUACAUGUUCUUCAGCAGAUGUUGACUCGUCUGACACGUCAUGCAGGAAUAAGACCAAGAUUACUGUGAGAAAGGUUAAAAAUUCUUCUAAAGUUGCAGUUGCAACUAGGUCUUCUCCUCAUGUUGCUUCCAAGAACGCGAAAGAUGAUUUUAAAGACUCGCCCGUGGUCACUUCUCCAAUGGCUGUUGUGCAACCUAAUUCUCCUGUGAGGAAUUCACCAAAUGCUGGAAUAUCUCCUUCAAUGAGCGUUGCCGUAGCUGAAACUUCUGCUUAUCAAGAUCAAGGUUUUGCUCCUCCAAUGAGUGCUACCAUAGCUGAAACUUCUGCUGAUCAAGAUCAAGGAUUUGCUCAUCCAAUGAGCGCUGCUGUAGCUGAAGAUGCCCAAGCUCCUGUCAAAAUACCAUGUGUUGCUCAAGCUCAAGUUGAAUCUGCCCAAUCCAAUGUGGCAGAACCAGUUGAAACUGAAGAUUCACUGUUUGUUGAAGCUCAAGCUGGGGAUGACCAAGUCGUCGCCCAAGAAUUCAGCAGUAAUGCAGAUGUAGAAGAUGUUGUUGCUGAGAGGGCCUACUGGGAUUUCACCCCACCAUCUUGCUCUCUUGGCCUGGAUUUUGGCCCCACACCGCCGGGACGAGAUAUUAAUACGACGGCCGCAGUCCCAGCUGUAGUACCAACACCGCCCCCAGCGGUUGUUUCGACAACUCAAGCACCAGUAGUGGACCCAUCGGUUAACAAUGCUCCCAGGGACCGAGCAGCACCAGCCCUAAUUGAUCAGAUGGCGGCAGCACCAAGAGAUUCAAAGAAUGUAGUAGAUAAUCCUGUUGACUCUAAGCCGGUUUCAUGCUCUGAGCCUGCUGACCUUGAGUGUCGAGUUCGAGUUUAUGAUGCGGAUGUUGAAGACGAUGAUGUAAUUAUGUGGGUUGAAGAAGUCGAACAUGCCACUGCUAGAGAAAAAGCAAAUUAUGCUCCUAUAAAAGACCACCCCAUUAGCCCUGAAUUUGUUACACCAGUUAUUCACCCUCCCAAUGGUAAUCAUUCAUCCAGUGUGACUCCUAAAUCGUACAUUCAAAAAGUUAGGGUAAGCCGCCCAUCGUAG